CGAGCAGACUCACUAGUUCGUGUUUUUAACUCGGUGGAGAAGGUAAUAAAUCAUAACACAAGGAUAGAAAGAUGCAUCAAGAAUCAACCCCCAUUAUCCAAUCAUACUAUAAAUUGGAAGCAUCCAUGUUUAAUGAUUAGACAUAGCUAAUAACAGAUGAAUUCAGUCAAGACUUGUAUUGCAAUAAAUUAAAAACUGAAUUUCCACCAAUAAAAUUUAAAAAGUCAAAUUCAAUAAAAUAAUUAGGUACUCUAAAUUGACUCUACCUAAGUCUUCAUCCACAUGAGAUCGAGGAGCCAUUUUAAUAUCUACCACAAACAGAAUUUUGUCAAUGAAACGCGGAUGCCAGAUAAACCUCGAGCGGCACCUCGACAUUUAUUGAACCCCAUCGGAUUCCAAAUUGAAAAUUAGUAGCAGAAGUCUAUUUUUAAGAUUCAAUUAAGACUCCAGCUCCUCAAUCUUCCUCCUCAGCCUCUUUCUCGUUUCCUUGUAUCGUUCCCUCUUAUUUUAUGUAUUUGUCGUGCUUUUUGCGAAUUUUUGAUGGUGAAUUAAGUGUGUUUAUUGAUGAAGUCAGAGAGAAACGAGAAGGGAAGGAGUGUGAUUUGGGUGGCGAAGAGGGGUGGGGGACGGCUGUGUUCAGGCGAUGGUUGCUAUUCUUGGGGUGUCUUCGGUUGUGAGAUGUUAGUUUUUUGUUGAAGAAGAUGAAAGGGAAAUUAAGGGGUUUUGCGGUCGAAGAUUAUAAAUAAUGGCCGACCCCUUUUCAGCCUUCUAGGGUUGCUUUUAAGUGUAUUUUCAGGGUUUAAGGGGUAUUGGCUUGGGUUAUUAUGGGCUGAAUCUGAAAAUUAGCCUUAAAAAUAGGUUAUUUGAGCCAAAUUUUAUUCUUUCUUCGUGAACAAGACUAAAUAUACUACCUCAUUUACUAAUUAAUCAUACU
rnacentral:lncRNA from 1 species